AGGCUCGUAGUCUAAUGGAUAGGAUACCAGGUUUCGGCCCUGUUGGUGAGGGUUCAAUUCCCUCCGAGCCUG
rnacentral:tRNA from 1 species